rnacentral:rRNA from 1 species
AUUGUACGCUGGCGGCAGGCCUAACACAUGCAAGUCGAACGAGUGGCGGACUGGUGAGUAAUUGCGGGGAAACUGCCUGAUGGAGGGGGAUAACUCCUGGCAACGGUGGCUAAUACCGCAUACCAUCAGCUGUGCCCAGAUGGGAUUAGAGUGUUGGUGGGGUAACGGCUCACCAAGUCGACGAGCCAUAGCUGGUCUGAGAGGAUGACCAGCCACACUGGAACUGAGACACGGUCCAGACUCCUACGGGAGGCAGUAGUGGGGAAUAUUGGACAAUGGGCGCAAGCCUGAUCCAGCCAUGCCGCGUGUAUGAAGAAGGCCGUCGGGUUGUAAAGUACGUUCAGCGGGGAGGCGGUACCCGCAGAAGAAGCACCGGCUAACUCCGUGCCAGCCGCCGCGGUAAUUC